GUGAGUAAUGCAUAGGAAUCUGCCCAGUAGCGGGGGAUAACCCGGGGAAACUCGGGCUAAUACCGCAUACGCCCUGCGGGGGAAAGUGGGGGAUCUUCGGACCUCACACUAUUGGAUGAGCCUAUGUCGGAUUAGCUUGUUGGUGGGGUAAUGGCCCACCAAGGCGACGAUCUGUAGCUGGUCUGAGAGGACGACCAGCCACACUGGGACUGAGACACGGCCCAGACUCCUACGGGAGGCAGCAGUGGGGAAUAUUGGACAAUGGGGGCAACCCUGAUCCAGCAAUGCCGCGUGUGUGAAGAAGGCCUGCGGGUUGUAAAGCACUUUCAGCAGGGAAGAAAAGCUUGGCGUUAAUACCGCCAAGUCUUGACGUUACCUGAAGAAGAAGCACCGGCUAACUCUGUGCCAGCAGCCGCGGUAAUACAGAGGGUGCAAGCGUUAAUCGGAAUUACUGGGCGUAAAGCGCGCGUAGGCGGUCGCGUAAGUUAGAUGUGAAAGCCCCGGGCUUAACCUGGGAAUUGCAUCUAAGACUGCGUAACUAGAGUAUGGGAGAGGAGGGUAGAAUUCCAGGUGUAGCGGUGAAAUGCGUAGAUAUCUGGAGGAAUACCAGUGGCGAAGGCGGCCCGCUGGACCGUAACUGACGCUGAGGUGCGAAAGCUAGGGGAGCAAACGGGAUUAGAUACCCCGGUAGUCCUAGCCGUAAACGAUGGGCACUGGGUAGGGGGGUAGCCUAUGCGCUUCUCUGCCGAAGCAAAUGUGUUAAGUGCCCGC
rnacentral:rRNA from 1 species